rnacentral:misc_RNA from 1 species
AAGUCGUAACAAGGUUUCCGUAGGUGAACCUGCGGAAGGAUCAUUAUUGAAUAAACUUGGCAUGGGUUGAUGCUGGCUUUUUUAAUGAGCAAGUGCACACCUAUCCAAUUUUUAAUCCCCUGUGCACCUUUGUAAACCUGGACCUUUUCGAGAAAAGUAGUCAUCUGCUUCACUUGGUUUGAGAAUUGUCAUGCUUGCAAAAGUCAAGACUUUUCUUGUUUCAGAUUUAUGUUUUCACCAUAUACUCUAAGAAAUUAUCAGAAUGUUAUUAUAUUGGCCUUGUGCCUUUAAAUAUAUAUAUAUACAACUUUCAACAACGGAUCUCUUGGCUCUC